AUAAAAUGUUGAAAUACAAUUAGCAACUAUUUCUUGCUUCUGUUUGGCUUAUUAAUGGCCCUCGUUUCGUCGCUAGAGGAUCGCAGGCUCGUAGAACGAAAUUGGGCUUAAUUGUGAAAGAAAAGUCUGUUCAGAAAGAUGCCAACACAUUUACAUCGAAUUGUGCCUCCGGUUCUGUUCGUGUGUUCUUUAGUGGGUGUAUUCUUGGUGCUUCAAUAUAAUUUGCAGGACGUAGGGGAAUACGAGAUUCGUGACAAUUAUGUAACAAAAGGCAAUAUGAUCACAGAAGACCCAAUACUUGCACGCGAAAAACUAGAUGACAAGAUGGCACUGAAGAGCAGCACGACAAGGAAGGAACAAGUAAAAAAGGUUUGUCGGAAAUCAAAUGUUACCAAAAUCUUGGGAAAGCCUAAUGUGGGCGAAAAAAUAAUGAUGAGAAGAAAGAUGAUUCUUUAUCAACACUUGAUCGUCGAUGAAGCACACAGGGUCAUUUAUUGCUACAUACCAAAAGUUGCUUGUUCUCAAUUCAAAAAAAUAUUUAUUGUGUUGAACAAUAAAAGUAGGAGUAUUGCAAAGUUGCUUUCCCAUCAAGCUCAUUUUCAUCAAAACCUGGUAUUAGGCCGUAUUCUCGACUGGAUUUUCGUUUAGUUUUGUUCCCCCCUCACGGGGAAUACUUUUUGACAAGCAAAAUCUGUAGAUUAUUAUGUGUAAAAUUCAAAUUCACUUGUUGUAAUUUUCACAAACCUGCAGUUUUUUAGUACAACACCGCCAAAGUUUCACGAAAUCAACACAUUUCGCAAUCGUUCGCCGCCAUUUUAUCUGAGAAAACUUCAUGUAAUAUUUACGAAAUGAUCCUCUUUUACUCAUUAUUGUUUUGUCUAACAUAACGUUCUUACAACUUUCCGCUGAUUAUAUGUAAUAAAUUCGCGCGCCUUUUCGCGGGAAUAUAAUUUUUUUUUGUAUUUUUUUUAAAUAUCUGCAACUCUGUUGAAUGUUUUGAACAUCUUUAAUUAUACACUACGUAUAUUGUUUAUGACAGAACAAACAAUUAAAUCGCGCUGUUUGAUUCAUUUUGACGGGCAUUGUGGCCCUCUCACUGCUUUUACCGAAGUUUCUUUUAAAAAGUUUUUACUUUUUCGGGAAAAAUGGGUAUCGCUCGAUGGUGAGCAAAGACAAGUGGCGGAAAAAUCAUUCGGCGUGGUAGCCGACGGGGAUACAGCAACAGGUCCUGAAAACCUUUAUUACCACAGGGAAUGCUAUUCAAAAUUUACCAACAAAACUUUAGUUGCACACGCGAAACGGCGAUGUGAAAAGAUAGAUGAAAUUGAAAGAAAGUCUAAUGUAGACGAGAUCUUGCUUUCCACCGAUGAUGAGACACAGGUGCCUGCAAAGUUUCUUAGAUCGUCCACUGAUGAAACUGUGCGCGUGAAACCCAGAAAUGCUCAUGUGCUACCACCUACUUGUAUUAUAUGUGGCAGAGAAAGUUUGUACAUCACUGAUUCAAUUAGUAAAAAACGCAAAUUGGACAAGCUUAUCUCUUCUGAAACAAUUGAUGGG